AGAUAAGCAGUGUACAUCGUGGACUAAGGAUCUAAUUAAGAUUUCAAGACACUGAAAGUUUAGUUUUGAUUUCACCUUGAAGUACUAGAAACUUCUCAAAGAACCUAUUUGAACCAAAAUUGUAACUUCUUCAUUGAAGGGUGAAGGAGAAGAACAGGGAAAAAGAAAAAUUAACAGCAGCAUCAAUGUGUGCAUUUCACAAACCAUCCCUGGCACAUCAGCAGAGACACUGGAGUUGUCCAAGAUAUAAGGAGGUAUUGGAAUUCUCCAUUAUGGAGUAUAUGGAUAUGUGGUCCUUAUUUAAAUGAAGAACUAAAGCCAGUCAUUAUUCGUGCUAAUACAGUUGAAGGAUCCUGGACUCCAAAAGCAGUCAGCAUAUAUCACAGAAGUAAACACUGACACUGCACCCAUGAACAUCAGGAUAUCUUUCAGUUUCAUUGCAGCUGGAGUCAGUGACUUCAUAGUGA